AGCGAACGCUGGCGGCAGGCCUAACACAUGCAAGUCGAACGGACCCUUCGGGGUUAGUGGCGGACGGGUGAGUAACACGUGGGAACGUGCCUUUAGGUUCGGAAUAGCUCCUGGAAACGGGUGGCAAUGCCGAAUGUGCCCUUCGGGGGAAAGAUUUAUCGCCUUUAGAGCGGCCCGCGUCUGAUUAGCUAGUUGGUGAGGUAAAGGCUCACCAAGGCGACGAUCAGUAGCUGGGCUGAGAGGAUGACCAGCCACAUUGGGACUGAGACACGGCCCAAACUCCUGCGGGAGGCAGCAGUGGGGAAGCUUGCGCAAUGGGCGAAAGCCUGACGCAGCCAUGCCGCGUGGAUGAUGAAGGUCUUAGGAUUGUAAAAUCCUUUCACCGGUGAAGAUAAUGACUGUAGCCGGAGAAGAAGCCCCGGCUAACUUCGUGCCAGCCGCCGCGGUAAGAC
rnacentral:rRNA from 1 species